GAUGAACGCUAGCUACAGGCUUAACACAUGCAAGUCGAGGGGAAACGAUAUUGGAAGCUUGCUUCCGAUAGGCGUCGACCGGCGCACGGGUGAGUAACGCGUAUCCAACCUGCCCAUCACUUGGGGAUAACCUUGCGAAAGUAAGACUAAUACCCAAUGACGUCUCUAGAAGACAUCUGAAGGAGAUUAAAGAUUUAUCGGUGAUGGAUGGGGGAUGCGUCUGAUUAGCUUGUUGGCGGGGUAACGGCCCACCAAGGCGACGAUCAGUAGGGGUUCUGAGAGGAAGGUCCCCCACAUUGGAACUGAGACACGGUCCAAACUCCUACGGGAGGCAGCAGUGAGGAAUAUUGGUCAAUGGGCGAGAGCCUGAACCAGCCAAGUAGCGUGCAGGAUGACGGCCCUAUGGGUUGUAAACUGCUUUUAUAAGGGAAUAAAGUGGGAGUCGUGACUCUUUUUGCAUGUACCUUAUGAAUAAGGACCGGCUAAUUCCGUGCC
rnacentral:rRNA from 1 species